UCAGGACGGAAUAUUGAAAACUCUUGGUUUUUUUUUGUUUUGAUUCUUCGUGAGUUUUUCACCAAAUUUUCAAGCAAUAUCCGCGUGACUUCUGGUUAUUCAGCAAAUUUAAAAAAACUCCGGGGAAACCGUUUUGAGGGGGACGACAUAGAUUUUGAAGAAUGAAUUUAGAAUUUUAAAAUUAUGAACAUUCUUACUAUUUUUUGCUCAUAUAAUAACAACGGAAAUACAUUGAAGGAAAAUUGUUCUUUCAAAGUAGUUGGAUAAAUAUAACAUAUAUAUAUAUUUUAAUAAUUUCCUAAAUUUUAGUGACUUUUCAUAAUACACGAAUUGUAGGCUGUAACUGUAGGAGCCCCAGGCAGAAACUUUAAAGGUUAAACGAAAUGUUACUAAAAAAGAAAUGUACUAUUCCAGAAUACAUAUUUCUGUUAUAUACUUAUUUCUGUCAGAAGAUCGAAAAUAGGUUUUCUAAAUUAACAGUUACGUUAAAUAUAAUUGAGUAUAACACACCUGUUUAGUAUCUUUUUGCGGCGCGCAUCCCCUUGUUAUAGUGUUUUGUUUUUCGUUUUGCAAAUGAAGUGUUGAAAUGGUUUUUAAACACAUUGUCGAAAAUGGGCAAUCAAUGAUAAAAUUUUCAGACCAGUCAAAUUUGGUGCACAUUGGCGUCAAAACAGUUAUAUUUUGUAUAUAAUUUUUUUCUACAGUAACGCUGCAUUUGAAACAUUUUAUCGCUGCGAUGGAAUCUA